UGAGGGCAAAAGGAACCAAUCCACGAAGAGGCGUCGCGGAACAUCCGCCAGCAAGUCCGGUUGCCGGGCGCCCGCCCCUCUUUUGUUAACUCUCCGACGCCACCACAAUAUUCUUUGAAAAUAAAGGGAUGAUCUCUGACAGACUCGGAAGGGGGGAGUAAUUAGGUAACCCAGGGAGGCAGACGGACACUUACUUUCUGUGGAGCUGACAGGACUGCAUAGUUAGACUGUGGAGCGCUUUGGGUUGUCCCGAGACUCUGACUGAAGCAUUGGAAGUAGCAUCCCCCACCUUGCUGAACACAAAGAAAACUACUGCAGCCUUGGAGAAGGGCUGAAUAGAGAGAGAAUGCAAUCUGUUUCAACUUGUUUCAACAUUCCCCAUUGGAGAAACUGGAGCACUUCAUAUGUAAAAG